AGCGUACACGGUGGAUGCCCUGGCAGUCAGAGGCGAUGAAGGACGUGCUAAUCUGCGAUAAGCGCCGGUAAGGUGAUAUGAACCGUUAUAACCGGCGAUUUCCGAAUGGGGAAACCCAGUGUGAUUCGUCACACUAUCAUUAACUGAAUCCAUAGGUUAAUGAGGCGAACCGGGGGAACUGAAACAUCUAAGUACCCCGAGGAAAAGAAAUCAACCGAGAUUCCCCCAGUAGCGGCGAGCGAACGGGGAGGAGCCCAGAGCCUGAAUCAGCAUGUGUGUUAGUGGAAGCGUCUGGAAAGGCGCGCGAUACAGGGUGACAGCCCCGUACACAAAAGCGCAUGUGCUGUGAGCUCGAUGAGUAGGGCGGGACACGUGGUAUCCUGUCUGAAUAUGGGGGGACCAUCCUCCAAGGCUAAAUACUCCUGACUGACCGAUAGUGAACCAGUACCGUGAGGGAAAGGCGAAAAGAACCCCGGCGAGGGGAGUGAAAAAGAACCUGAAACCGUGUACGUACAAGCAGUGGGAGCACAGGUUUACCUGUGUGACUGCGUACCUUUUGUAUAAUGGGUCAGCGACUUAUAUUCUGUAGCAAGGUUAACCGUAUAGGGGAGCCGGAGGGAAACCGAGUCUUAACCGGGCGUUAAGUUGCAGGGUAUAGACCCGAAACCCGGUGAUCUAGCCAUGGGCAGGUUGAAGGUUGGGUAACACUAACUGGAGGACCGAACCGACUAAUGUUGAAAAAUUAGCGGAUGACCUGUGGCUGGGGGUGAAAGGCCAAUCAAACCGGGAGAUAGCUGGUUCUCCCCGAAAGCUAUUUAGGUAGCGCCUCGUGAAUUCAUCUCCGGGGGUAGAGCACUGUUUCGGCUAGGGGGCCAUCCCGGCUUACCAACCCGAUGCAAACUGCGAAUACCGGAGAAUGUUAUCACGGGAGACACACGGCGGGUGCUAACGUCCGUCGUGAAGAGGGAAACAACCCAGACCGCCAGCUAAGGUCCCAAAGUCAUGGUUAAGUGGGAAACGAUGUGGGAAGGCCCAGACAGCCAGGAUGUUGGCUUAGAAGCAGCCAUCAUUUAAAGAAAGCGUAAUAGCUCACUGGUCGAGUCGGCCUGCGCGGAAGAUGUAACGGGGCUAAACCAUGCACCGAAGCUGCGGCAGCGAACGUAUCACCCAAGACAACUUUACGGAGUUGACGAUUGACGGAGCGAAGCGACGUCAAAGCGUUCAUAAAAGUCGAGUCGGUUUAAGGAUACGUUCGUUGGGUAGGGGAGCGUUCUGUAAGCCCGUGAAGGUGGCCUGUGAGGGUUGCUGGAGGUAUCAGAAGUGCGAAUGCUGACAUAAGUAACGAUAAAGCGGGUGAAAAGCCCGCUCGCCGGAAGACCAAGGGUUCCUGUCCAACGUUAAUCGGGGCAGGGUGAGUCGACCCCUAAGGCGAGGCCGAAAGGCGUAGUCGAUGGGAAACGGGUUAAUAUUCCCGUACUUGGUGUUACUGCGAAGGGGGGACGGAGAAGGCUAUGUUGGCCGGGCGACGGUUGUCCCGGUUUAAGCGUGUAGGUGUGUGUUCCAGGUAAAUCCGGUUCACUUUAACACUGAGGCGUGACGACGAGGCACUACGGUGCUGAAGCAACAAAUGCCCUGCUUCCAGGAAAAGCCUCUAAGCAUCAGGUAACAUCAAAUCGUACCCCAAACCGACACAGGUGGUCAGGUAGAGAAUACCAAGGCGCUUGAGAGAACUCGGGUGAAGGAACUAGGCAAAAUGGUGCCGUAACUUCGGGAGAAGGCACGCUGACACGUAGGUGAAGUGAUUUACUCAUGGAGCUGAAGUCAGUCGAAGAUACCAGCUGGCUGCAACUGUUUAUUAAAAACACAGCACUGUGCAAACACGAAAGUGGACGUAUACGGUGUGACGCCUGCCCGGUGCCGGAAGGUUAAUUGAUGGGGUCAGCGCAAGCGAAGCUCCUGAUCGAAGCCCCGGUAAACGGCGGCCGUAACUAUAACGGUCCUAAGGUAGCGAAAUUCCUUGUCGGGUAAGUUCCGACCUGCACGAAUGGCGUAAUGAUGGCCAGGCUGUCUCCACCCGAGACUCAGUGAAAUUGAACUCGCUGUGAAGAUGCAGUGUACCCGCGGCAAGACGGAAAGACCCCGUGAACCUUUACUAUAGCUUGACACUGAACAUUGAGCCUUGAUGUGUAGGAUAGGUGGGAGGCUUUGAAGUGUGGACGCCAGUCUGCAUGGAGCCGACCUUGAAAUACCACCCUUUAAUGUUUGAUGUUCUAACGUGGACCCGUAAUCCGGGUUGCGGACAGUGUCUGGUGGGUAGUUUGACUGGGGCGGUCUCCUCCUAAAGAGUAACGGAGGAGCACGAAGGUUGGCUAAUCCUGGUCGGACAUCAGGAGGUUAGUGCAAUGGCAUAAGCCAGCUUGACUGCGAGCGUGACGGCGCGAGCAGGUGCGAAAGCAGGUCAUAGUGAUCCGGUGGUUCUGAAUGGAAGGGCCAUCGCUCAACGGAUAAAAGGUACUCCGGGGAUAACAGGCUGAUACCGCCCAAGAGUUCAUAUCGACGGCGGUGUUUGGCACCUCGAUGUCGGCUCAUCACAUCCUGGGGCUGAAGUAGGUCCCAAGGGUAUGGCUGUUCGCCAUUUAAAGUGGUACGCGAGCUGGGUUUAGAACGUCGUGAGACAGUUCGGUCCCUAUCUGCCGUGGGCGCUGGAGAACUGAGGGGGGCUGCUCCUAGUACGAGAGGACCGGAGUGGACGCAUCACUGGUGUUCGGGUUGUCAUGCCAAUGGCACUGCCCGGUAGCUAAAUGCGGAAGAGAUAAGUGCUGAAAGCAUCUAAGCACGAAACUUGCCCCGAGAUGAGUUCU
rnacentral:rRNA from 1 species